UGGGCGUCGACCGGCGCACGGUGAGUAACGCGUAUCCAACCUCGCCCAUCACUUGGGGAUAACCUUGCGAAAGUAAGACUAAUACCCAAUGACGUCUCUAGAAGACAUCUGAAAAGAGAUUAAAGAUUUAUCGGUGAUGGAUGGGGAUGCGUCUGAUUAGCUUGUUGGCGGGGUAACGGCCCACCAAGGCGACGAUCAGUAGGGGUUCUGAGAGGAAGGUCCCCCCACAUUGGAACUGAGACACGGUCCAAACUCCUACGGGAGGCAGCAGUGAGGAAUAUUGGUCAAUGGACGAGAGUCUGAACCAGCCAAGUAGCGUGCAGGAUGACGGCCCUAUGGGUUGUAAACUGCUUUUAUAAGGGAAUAAAGUUAGUCUCGUGAGACUUUUUGCAUGUACCUUAUGAAUAAGGACCGGCUAAUUCCGUG
rnacentral:rRNA from 1 species